GAUAUUGCCCACAAGAGUAAUGAACCCCGUGUUAUUUUUCGUACGACUGACAGUUUCAAUUUAAGAAUAGGGUAUUUCACGUCUCAUCCGACGGUGUAUUAUUGCCGUACACGGCUAAUUGACAGUGCCGUUCAAGAAUCAACCGCCAGAUCGGGGCGCAGUGGGAACCAAAUUCAGGCCGAGAGAUUAAAAUCUAUCCAGGCCAUCCAAUAAAAUACGUAUCAAACAAAAUUGUUCUCAAAUUUGAAUUUGGACCACUGGUGAAGCUAGAAUCUUGAACCAACGGAAGUUAAAUACGUUUUUAC